rnacentral:rRNA from 1 species
AUUUAGCAUGGGGGAACCUGACCGCAAUGCCGCGUGUGUGAUGAAGGCCUUCGGGUUGUAAAGCACUUUUGUCAGGGACGAUGAUGACGGUACCUGACGAAUAAGCUCCGGCUAACUUCGUGCCAGCAGCCGCGGUAAUACGAGGGGAGCUAGCGUUGUUCGGAAUUACUGGGCGUAAAGGGCGUGUAGGCGGUACCAUAAGUCAGAUGUGAAAGCCCUAGGCUUAACCUAGGAGGUGCAUUUGAUACUGUGGAACUAGAGAUCGAGAGAGGUAAGUGGAAUUACGAGUGUAGAGGUGAAAUUCGUAGAUAUUCGUAAGAACACCAGUGGCGAAGGCGACUUACUGGCUCGAUACUGACGCUAAGGCGCGAAA